CUCUCUCUCUCUCUCUCUCUCUCUCUCUCUCUCUCUCUCUCUCUCUCUCUCUCUCUCUCUCUCUCUCUCUCUCUCUCUCUCUCUCUCUCUCUCUCUCUCUCUCUCUCUCUCUCUCUCUCGCCUCUGCUUCCUGACAGCCGGUGUUGUGGUCUCUGUUAGCCUUGAGUGUUCAGCCUGUGCCUUCAGCCCACCACCGUCUGUUGUUGUGGGCUUCAGGCAUCAACAAACCACAUACUCUCAAAACAUCCCCAAUUUCUCCCUAGACACAGCCUCAGAAAUUCCCUGAGAAACUUCCCCAGAAUUGUCUAAAACUCCCCAGAAAUUCUCACCCUUCCCUAGAAACUGACUGACUGACACUGGUAGAGGAUUAUCAAGUCCUCUACCCUUGCCAGUUCCCACACAACACACCCCCUGCCACCUCCACCCCUAUACAGACCCUACACCCUUCCCUUACACCCUAACCAGACCUUACCCCCAACAAUCUUCCCCCUCUCCUCCCUCCCCCUCUCACCUCUUUCCCCUCCCCGCCACUAUGCCAGCCCUGUCUCACGUGGCGCUGCAUGACUCGAGGCCGCAUGACAGUCGGUGUUGGAUCAGUAGGACGCUGUAAAGAACAUGUUAAAUUUAAGUCACCCCCCAAAGCUGCCUUCCCUCUGUUCCCCUCCUCCAGCUCCCCCCCUUCAAGCCCGGUCAGCCUGAUUGACCUGAGAUAUUGAAAAGACAACGCUUAUUCGUUCGUAGGAGGUUGCCCCCCCACCAUCUCUUCCCCCGUCCCUCAUACAUCUGUCGCCGCCCCCCUAACGCUGAUAUCCCCACUUUCCCUCCUUCUACCCCCCUCACCACCACGCUAGUAAAUGCCUCUGUGUUCCCUAGUUUUUUUGUUUUUUUUUUCUUUAUUGUUAAUGGCUGGGGCGCCCUCCUCCCCUCCCUCCCUCCCUUAAUUAAUACAGGUCUUACUGAUAAUACUUGUGAUAAACGUGUUUGGACGAGUCGUGGUUAGCUGUUUAUUAUUUUUCAUUAUCGUUAUUAUUAUUAUUAUUAUUAUUAUUAUUAUUAUUAUUAUUAUUAUUAUUAUUAUUAUUGUUAUUAUCAUUAUUAUCAUUAUGAUCAUUGCCCCUUGUCGCUGUUGUUUGGUGAUUAGCAACUGUCGUAUGGAUCUUGUUUUUUGUUUUUUUGUUUUUUUCUUGUUAAUGUUAAUAUAUUGUGUGCCCCCCAUUACUGCCCCCCUCGCUGAGAUUAUUUUUGGAAGGGUCUCAGAAGGAACCCUCGUCCCCCCCAACACACCCCAGACUGAACAGCAAGAGCAUCAAAUGUUACUCAGCCGUUGCAGAAGAAGUCCAGUUUUGCUGAUAGGGAUUACCGCCCCCGGCCUCGCCCCGCUCCCCCCGCCACUUUUUGUGUGUCACGCCAUUAGCCUUUCAGAAAAGUACCUAACUUGAGUCUGUCCCAAGUGGCGCCGAGUUGCCGUAGUAAGGUCUAGCAUUGCCUCGUCACACGUCACGUCACGUCACGGAUACACACGGGCCGUCUGCUCUCUCUCCCCGUCUGGUAACUCAGCUAACAGUCCAGUCCAGUCCAGUCAGUCCGCCACCACUCACAGCCCACACCACCACUUAGUUGACUGUCACGUGCUCCGCCUCACUCCCACGUAACACAGAGACUCUCACCAAUCACCUCUCCCGCCUCCCAUGACGUGAGAGGCUCCGGCCAAUCACACAUCCUCCUUCCCAUGACGUCACUCAGACUGUGGUGCAGCUCUGGCCCGCCCCCCCUGAGGAGUCCCUCCCCCCUAGACCCUCCAGGGGCUGCAAACGGCUCUCCUCUGAACAGCCCCCAGAAGGGCUCACGAAGUAGUCCUUUUCUCAUCACUCACCGCCUCUGAUUUGGCUCCUGAGUGACGGGCAGAGGACUCGACGUGUGGCUGAGGUGGUUACCUUUCACUGUUCACUCGUCGUCCACGCACAAGAGGACAGCAUUUGCAGCGGCUUCGGCACCGUUGAGCUGGUGUGGGUGCGGGGGGCCGCUGCUCGCCCGGGGCGCCCCAUCUCACCCCGGGCGGGCAGCGGGUGCGGGUGUUCCCUUCCAAACUGCCAAAACAAGUCACCCAAAAGACUGCUCACCACCUGUCGCCUGCAGCCGCCGCCACCAACAGGCCAGGCAGUGGUGGUGCAGGGGCGCGUGGCUGUGGGCGUCGCUCUCUGCCCUAAAAAACACCAGGCCCGCCCAGCCCCGCCUCCAGGGACCCCGCACAACCGCAGCGCCGUCACACUUGUCACACUGGAGCCACGCUGACCAUGCCCCGGCGCCUCCACCCCCGGAAGUCUCGCCGCGACCAGAGGGGCGCAGGAUGUGAGGAUGCCGCAGAGUGUGGGACCAGAUGCCGACCCUUCCCCACGCCCCGCCCGGCCCCGCUCCCCGCUCUGCAGGAGGCUGAGGGCCCGCCUGUCACGUCCCGCCGCCCCGUGACCAAGCCUCCAGGGACAACUGCCGCCGUCCAUUUCUACAUGUUGAGUCGCAGGGUGGGUGUUCAUCUCAGACUUCUUGGCCAGUCUUCUUAGGGCUGCUGGGGGAAGCCGGUAGGGUCUGGCGAUCAUGAAGAACACAGGCGGUGGUGCUUGAAUGAGGCACCGAGGCUCUGGACCUCUUACUGUUGGGGCUGAGGCUUCCUGGUCCUUACAUGAAGCGCGGGCAGGACCGGACUGGACUGGGGACGCUCGUGGCCUGAGUGAGUGGCGUGGAGCACUGGACGCUGCCUUGUGAACUAUCCUCUGCGAGAAGGACCAGGAAUACACAGAGGCGGCUGACUAGAGGCUGUGGGAGAUGAAGAAAUUCCUCGUUGAGUGCAGAACAGCAGACAAAGCAGCAGGAAACAGCCUAGCCUUCACAGCACUGAUGUCUGGACUGACUGGAAGCUGUGGAAGGCGAAGGACUGGCCGGGAUCCCCAUGACAAGGAAACGAGGACACAGCACACAGCCAGUUGCAAGAACCCAUUAGGCCUACACGUGGCAGAGACAUGGAGAGAGGCCUAUUACCGACCACUGCAACCACCACCACCACCUCCACCACCACUGGGACACAUUGCUUUUGACUUCCACGCAAAGGAAUCAAAUUAAUGCCUUGAUAUGUCCUUUUCCCACAAGAGGACGUGAGAUAAGAGAGGGAGGUGCUUGGAGGGAGGACGUGAAGAUACUCAGAAGAUAUAAGACGAGUGUGGAGUUAAUGUAUUGUGUUUCUACAUCUCAGUUAUCUGUGAGUGCAUUCAUGAGGUGCAGGAGGUGAGGAGGAGAGGAGGAGAGGAAGUGGUCUUUGCCUGGUGGCCUGCAGUGAGUGGAGUGUGUCUCCGGGCCACGGUCACUCUUACAAACUGACGAUACGGUUGGUCUGUUGGUCUCUUUCUCCAGGUUUGCUUUGAUGCAUAAUUUCCCCAUGGGUUUAUUUCCCCGCCUCCGUUUUGUUGUUGUUCGUAGCGGUAAGGAUGGCGGACACCAGACAAGUCCCAUGCACUGAGUGGAUGCAUUGCUCUGUUAGUUGUUCAAUAUUUAGUACCUAGGGAUUUUUAUUGUAGGUUAUAGGAGAACUAUAUAUUGCCUGACAUAAUGGUUGAACAAAUAUUGGAGUUUUAACAUUGUAUACAUAUAUUUAGCAGUUGAGUUUAUUUGCUAGAUUUAUAUUUUCUCAGUUAAAAUUUUAAGUACCUAUUGUAGCAAAUUUUAUUCAUAUAUAAGUGCUAUUAAAAUAUUAGACUAAGUGAUAAAGAAAGGUUUGAAACCACUAUUAUAUAUAUAUUAGAAUAUAUAUUCCAAUCAUCCUUGUAAACAAAUAUUACUGAAUUGAAAAGGUAUAACUCCUUCAGUGCAUCAUAAUACUAAUAGUCUCUAUGAUCACACUGACAAACUGAAUUCUUUCCAGAUGAUAUUAUUCCUUAGCGCGUAGGAAGCACCAGCAGCACUGACAGGCGGUGCUGGGGUGCUGCGGCGGCACAGCUGUGGGCCGUGGUGCUCAGACACACACACACACACACACACACACACACACACACACACACACACACACACACACACACACACACAGAAAAAUGAAAGAUCUAGGACAUGACAAGUCUCACAUAAUCCUGUAAAACUGCAGAGUGAUAGAUGCAAACACAGGACACAGACAUGCUAGGAUGAGGCAAGAUUUGAUGCAUACGUGAACUGAAGGAGGAACACUGGAUGAAUGCAGACACUGACACAAAACACCAUCCAUAGAACUCAGGCCCUACACACACACACACACACACACACACACACACACACACACACACACACACACACACACACACACACACACACACACACACACACACACACACACCUGACCUACAGCUGUGCCCAUACAAAGAGUUAAUAGUUUGUUUCCACAUUUAAAAAAAAAAAAAGGUUGCAUUAGUGGAAGUCUUCUCUUAACCGACCAUAGCGUUUAUGAAGCAAGUCUUUUCUUGGCAUAACUUUGCAUUGAGGCUUUUUGUGCCGGGAGUGACAAAUGCUGAUGAUAUAACCAUAUAUUCCAAUUUUUCCCUCCAUUUCAUAAUAUAGUAAGUGGAAGAAGGUUAAAAAAGAUAUACCAUGUCUUAGUGUGUGUCUCUGAGGCUUGUCUGUGCUGUUACUUGAUCUUACUUUGGCCUCUGGUGUACACUUAGUUCUGGAAGGUGGUCUUGCAUGUUCCCUCACUUCCAACUGGUGAAAUAUUGCAUCGUGGAAAUAGUGUAUAGAUAGAUAGUGCUAGAGAAGUGUACAGGCAGUUUCUCAGGCAUCAAGUUAACAAUGUACACCCUUGUUAGUGAUAUAUAGAUGAUGAUAGAUGAGGCGAGUACACAUUUCACACAUCAAAUUGGCAAUGUGACACCUUUCUAGUAAUGAUUUAUUGAGGGACUGUGUUAAUGAGCCAAAAAAAGACAAAAACCUAUCAUAUAGGCAUCAAAGUUAUUCAGCGCACACCCUCAACAUACCACCAGGAUGACAGCAGCCCACAAGCCUCAGGGAACACACACCGUGGCGCCUCAAGUCUUUAAUCGCGUGUGAUAUCACUCUUCCACUAGAUGUGUGUGUGCGUGUGCGUGACUGUAGCUGUCAUAGAGAGGCUCUGUACACUGGUUAGUCCAGAGGUGCGGCCCACAGGCAAGGGUUUCUCGCUGCCGUGAUGCAUCAGACGUGUGUGCGCGGCAGCUCAGCCUGUGAGGUCGGAAGAAACCCCCGAGAAUCAGUGGUGUGACCCUGUUUACACACAAUAGCGUUUUUUGAUGUAGCCCACCCAGUUUUUUGACGGUAGGGGCGCAUAGCAGAGUUUUUAUCAACGACUAGUGUUGUAAAUACUACUAUACAUUAGCUCCAGCAGCAGCAGUGAGUUGCAUCGCCUCUAGAGCAAAGGAACCGCCUCACUCCCCGUGGGGCAACACUCUAAUAACCUCUCCAACAUUAUAGAUUCGACACAACACCAGUACACCACCACUUCUGUUUGGACCACCCUUCCUUACUCCUGCCCAUUACUUGCUCACCAACAAAGGAUCUGUUUUCUUUGCUGCCGAGGCCUGCCAGCGUGUCCCUGUCCUGACACACACACACCUGGCUGGCUCGGCUCCCCCAUGAUGUAGCUCUGUGUAGGAGUGUUGGUUGUGUUUACCCUUUAUUGUGGACUGGCCAGCUGACACUCACUGGCACUCACACGCCCAGUGACAGCAUUGGGACCUGAUAAUGUGUCCCUCAUUUCUCGAUCCUAACCCAAGAAAUGAGAAUAGGGUACAUAAAGCAUUGAGUUACAUCUUUGCACAUCAGACUCCAUCAUGUGACCUCCUGAAUCCUUCUUGAAAAGUUUCCUAAAAUGAGAUUCAGAGAGCAGGGUGGUGAAACAGUCAGUCAGUUAUGAGACGCUGGUAAAUGUAAUCAAAAUCUACAAAAAGCAAAUUUGUUCACAAUAACUACUGCAGAGUGAAGGAGGAAACAGGUAACAGUGAAAUAAUUGGCUGGUUAAAAUGACGAAAACAAACAGAACCUUUAAAUCCCUUCUGUUACCUAUUUUCUUCUCAUCUCCCAUAAUUCUCAAUCGUCUCAAACUGAUAAGAUCUUGAGGAAAAAGUUGAUAGUGUCACCUUCCCCACCCCCACGCACCAGCAGUGACAGUAAGAGCGACAGUAACAGUGAGAGUGAGUGACAGUGAGCCCUCGUCCUGUAUAACGAAUAAGCGACCAAUGCCUCGUGUCGCAGUACAGAAGGUUGAAUUGUGUGUAAAGCAGGAAGUGUAGCCAGUGUGAUAGCUGAUGGGGGUAACUGCUGAAGGUUAUGAUAAUCUGCUAGUGGAUUAUGUAGCUAAAUGAUUCUGUAUUGGCAUGUGUGUGUGUGUGUGUGUGUGAGAGAGAGAGAGAGAGAGAGAGAGAAACUACCAUGAGAUAAUGAUACUAGUGUGUGUGUGUGUGUGUGUGUGUGUGUGUGUGUGUGUGUGCGUGCAUGCAGGGUGGGGAUGGGAGUGGGGGGGGAGUGACGGGAAACAGCUGGGCGGGUUCACAACAGUCCACAUCGCGUGCUUAUCAUCACAUAAGCAGCUAACACCCUCAUCAUGAUAAUUGUCUUUGUUGGUCAUUCUGCUUUGUAAUUUUAAUAAAUUUUUAUAUGCUGA
rnacentral:misc_RNA from 1 species